rfam:Triticum aestivum genome assembly, contig: Triticum_aestivum_CS42_TGACv1_scaffold_178929_2DS
AAAGUACUCCCUCCGUCCCAAAAUUCUUGUCUUAGAUUUGUAUAGAUGCGGAUGUAUCAAGUCACAUUUUAGUAUUAGAUACAUCCGUAUCUAGACAAAUCUAAGACAAGAAAUUGGGACAGAGGGAGUAGUUG